rnacentral:sRNA from 1 species
GCACAAGAAGAAGAAAAAAA